CGGAAUUAGAGACCGGGCGCACGGGUGCGUAACGCGUAUGCAAUCUACCUUUUACAGAGGGAUAGCCCAGAGAAAUUUGGAUUAAUACCUCAUAGUAUUACGAAAUGGCAUCAUUUUGUAAUUAAAGUCACAACGGUAAAAGAUGAGCAUGCGUCCCAUUAGCUAGUUGGUAAGGUAACGGCUUACCAAGGCUACGAUGGGUAGGGGUCCUGAGAGGGAGAUCCCCCACACUGGUACUGAGACACGGACCAGACUCCUACGGGAGGCAGCAGUGAGGAAUAUUGGACAAUGGGCGCAAGCCUGAUCCAGCCAUGCCGCGUGCAGGAUGACGGUCCUAUGGAUUGUAAACUGCUUUUAUACGAGAAGAAACACUCCGACGUGUCGGAGCUUGACGGUAUCGUAAGAAUAAGGAUCGGCUAACUCCGUGCCAGCAGCCGCGGUAAUACGGAGGAUCCAAGCGUUAUCCGGAAUCAUUGGGUUUAAAGGGUCCGUAGGCGGUUUAAUAAGUCAGUGGUGAAAGCCCAUCGCUCAACGGUGGAACGGCCAUUGAUACUGUUAAACUUGAAUUAUUAGGAAGUAACUAGAAUAUGUAGUGUAGCGGUGAAAUGCUUAGAGAUUACAUGGAAUACCAAUUGCGAAGGCAGGUUACUACUAAUGGAUUUGACGCUGAUGGACGAAAGCGUGGGUAGCGAACAGGAUUAGAUACCCUGGUAGUCCACGCCGUAAACGAUGGAUACUAGCUGUUGGAAG
rnacentral:rRNA from 1 species